UCGGUUUAGCUGUCCCGAAACCACUUUCCGACUAGGGUCAAUUUAGGGCUGUCACAAAUGUACCUUACCACAGUCUCCACAGAUUGGUCGUCUAACCACAUUCAUUGGUACUGCUCGAACUGGUUCCUCCACUCUUGCUCUCUUAACAUUCCAAUUAGCACCACCCGAGGGUCCUGAAUCCCUCCGAAAACAGUUUCGAUCCUUCUCCUGAUUCUACUUUUCCGC
rnacentral:lncRNA from 1 species